AUUGAACGCUGGCGGCAGGCUUAACACAUGCAAGUCGAGCGGUAACAGAGAGAAGCUUGCUUCUCUGCUGACGAGCGGCGGACGGGGGAGUAAUGCCUAGGAAUCUGCCUAGUAGUGGGGGAUAACUUGCCGAAAGGUAAGCUAAUACCGCAUACGUCCUACGGGAGAAAGGAGGGGACCUUCGGGCCUUUCGCUAUUAGAUGAGCCUAGGUCGGAUUAGUUAGUUGGUGAGGUAAUGGCUCACCAAGACCGCGAUCCGUAACUGGUCUGAGAGGAUGCUCAGGCACACUGAAACUGAGACACGGGCCAGACCCCUACGGGAGGGAGCAGUGGGGAAUAUUGGACAAUGGGGGGAACCCUGAUCCAGCCAUGCCGCGUGUGUGAAGAAGGUCUUAGGAUUGUAAAGCACUUUAAGUUGGGAGGAAGAGCAGUUAACUAAUAUUUGACUGUUUUGACGUUACCGACAGAAUAAGCACCGGCUAACUUCGUGCCAGCCGCCGCCGUAA
rnacentral:rRNA from 1 species